rnacentral:rRNA from 1 species
UAUUGGGCAAUGGGCGAAAGCCUGACCCAGCCAUGCCGCGUGAGUGACGAAGGCCUUAGGGUUGUAAAGCUCUUUUGGCGGGGACGAUAAUGACGGUACCCGCAGAAUAAGCCCCGGCUAACUUCGUGCCAGCAGCCGCGGUAAUACGAAGGGGGCUAGCGUUGUUCGGAAUCACUGGGCGUAAAGCGCACGUAGGCGGACUUUCAAGUCAGGGGUGAAAUCCCGGGGCUCAACCUCGGAACUGCCUUUGAUACUGUUGGUCUCGAGUCCGAUAGAGGUGGGUGGAAUUCCUAGUGUAGAGGUGAAAUUCGUAGAUAUUAGGAAGAACACCGGUGGCGAAGGCGGCCCACUGGCCCGAUACUGACGCUGAGGUGCGAAAGCGUGGGGAGCAAACAG